rnacentral:rRNA from 1 species
UACGGAGGGGGCUAGCGUUGUUCGGAAUUACUGGGCGUAAAGCGCACGUAGGCGGAUAUUUAAGUCAGGGGUGAAAUCCCGGGGCUCAACCCCGGAGCUGCCUUUGAUACUGGGUAUCUGGAGGUCGAGAGAGGCGAGUGGAAUUCCGAGUGUAGAGGUGAAAUUCGUAGAUAUUCGGAGGAACACCAGUGGCGAAGGCGGCUCGCUGGCUCGAUACUGACGCUGAGGUGCGAAAGCGUGGGGAGCAAACAGG